UAGUAACGGCGAGUGAAGCGGGAAGAGCUCAAGCUUAAAAUCUCCGUGCAAGUUUUGCGCGGCGAAUUGUAGUCUAUAGAGGCGUGGUCAGCGUGGGCGCUUGGGGCAAGUUCCUUGGAAGAGGACAGCAUGGAGGGUGAUACUCCCGUUCAUCCCUGAGUGGCUCGUGCGUACGACCCGUUUUCUUUGAGUCGCGUUGUUUGGGAAUGCAGCGCAAAGUAGGUGGUAAAUUCCAUCUAAAGCUAAAUAUUGGUGCGAGACCGAUAGCGAACAAGUACCGUGAGGGAAAGAUGAAAAGAACUUUGAAAAGAGAGUUAAAGAGUACCUGAAACUGCUGAAAGGGAACCGAAUCGUUUCCAGUGUCUAUAAUCUGUGGCAUAUUUCAUUGGCGAGCGUUUGCGUGCGUGUGCUGUGGCAGUGGCUUUUUUGGCUGCGCCUGGUGUGUGUGGUGCGAGUGUUUGCUGGUGCCCUGUGCUGCGGUGGGACGUCAAGGUCAGUUCGUAUGCUGCGGGAAAUGGCUGCCGAGGAGGUAGGGCUUACGCUCCGCGUUUGUCUGUUAUAUCUUGGUGGACGAGUCGUCGCGGUUGGGACUGAGGUGCCUACAACGUGCUUUUGAGUGGGUUUGUGUCUCCGUGUGCGCCGUGUGCGGAUAGCUUGCUAUGCGUGUGUGGUUGUGUGUGGAUGGAUGCGGGCCUUAACUUGUCGCCGUUC
rnacentral:rRNA from 1 species